UAAGGAAUAUUGCUCAAUGGGAGAAAUCCUGAAGCAGCAACGCCGCGUGGAGGAUGAAGGGUCUAUGACUUGUAAACUCCUGUAAAGAAGGAAAAAAUUCCCAUUAGAUGGGAGAUGAUGGUACUUCUGGAGUAAGCCCCGGCUAACUACGUGCCAGCAGCCGCGGUAAUACGUAGGGGGCAAGCGUUACUCGGAAUUACUGGGCGUAAAGCGUGCGUAGGCGGUCUGUUAAGUCUGCUGUGAAAUCCCCGGGCUCAACCUGGGAAUGGCAGUGGCAACUGGCGAGCUAGAGUACGGUAGAGGAUGGUGGAAUUCCCGGUGUAGCGGUGAAAUGCGUAGAGAUCGGGAGGAACACCAGUGGCGAAGGCGGCCAUCUGGACCAGUACUGACGCUGAGGCACGAAAGCGUGGGGAGCAAACA
rnacentral:rRNA from 1 species